UCUGGCAUGAUUGAAAGCUCCCUGGGCCUUCACCAGAAGCUGAGUAGAUGCCAGCACCAUACUGCCUCUCAAGUCCACAGAACUCUGAGCCAAUUAAACAUCUUUACAAAUUACCCAGUCUCAGAUUGAAAAUAAAUCCAUUCUCCCCUGGAUGACAUUUAGGCUGUUUCCACUUCACUGAUUAUUCUUACAUGUGAUUGAGGUAACCAAGCUUAUGUAUUACAGGAAAAGCAAGAAUAAAUACAGUGUACAUUUUUUCAGGUAUGGGUCUAAAUUACAUAUUCUCUUCCAUUGUACUAUGCAUCUGUUUUUAUGCCAGUAUCAUGCUUUUUUCGUUACUAUACCUCUAUAGUAUAAUUUAAAGUAAGGUAAUGGGACUCCCCCAGUUUUAUUCUUUUUGCUCAAGAAAGCUUUGGCUAUUCUAAAUCUUUUGUGGUUUCAUAUAAAUCUUAAGAUUGCGUUUUUUCAUCUCAGUAUAAAAAUGUCAUUGGCAUUUCGAUAGGGACUACAUUGACUCUGUAGGUUGUUUCAGGCAGUAUGGACAUUUUAACAAUAUUGAUUCUUCCAAUCCGUGAACAUUAAAUAUCUUUCCUUUUGGUGCAUUUGCUUCCAUUUCUUUAAUCAAUGUUUUACAGUUUUUGUUGGAAAGAUCUUUCACUUCUUCAGUGAAGUUUAGUUCUAGCCAUUUUAUUUUAUUUGUACCUAUUGUAAACAGGAUUACUUCCUUGGUUUCUUUUCCAGAUUGUUCACUUUUGCCAUAUGAAAAUGUUGAUAAUUUUCUAUG
rnacentral:lncRNA from 10 species